rnacentral:lncRNA from 1 species
AUUAAAUAUAUUAGGUGUAUACUUGUUUAUUUUAACAUGGUAUGAUGACAAUAAGGGAUCAUUUGGUCUUUUAAGGCUGUUCUUAUACAUCCACCUUUGGGAAAAGUAAAAAUUUAACCUUGCCCUUUAUCCUUUAGGAAGUCAUCAAUUCUCCUCUUAAAAUCUUAGUGUUGGCUUCCACUGCUGCCCAAAGCAACUCAUUCCAUAAACCAAACACACUGUUAAAAACUUUUUUUAAUUGGAGCCUAGCUUGCUUUUCCAAAAUCUUGAACUUGUGUCCUAAUAUCUUCAGAAUACAGCUUAAAGAAUUCAGGGGUCUUUCUUCUUUUAUUUCUGUGAAUAAUCUUGCAAACUUAAAUAAGAUCUUCUGUUACUGUUCUUUUCUUAAAGAUUUAUUAUAGUAAACAUCCUCUGAAUCCUUUCUAAUAAGUCAGCAUCCUUUCUUAGAUAUUGAGACCAAAACCAUAUACAGUAUUCAAAGUUAGACAUAACUACUGAUUUGUAUAGUGAGAUAAUUCUCUUUUGACUUGUAAUCACUAUGUAUAUACAUAAACCCUAAAAUUCUAUAAGCUUUAGCUAUUAUAUUAUGACUGUCAACAGAUAAUUGUAUUAAUGGCUUUAUCCACCACUUUGCCAAGAUCCUUUUAUUCAGUCAUACUAUUGAGAGGGUUCUUACCAUAAUACAGCUAUACUAGAGGUAAGAUCCAAAUUGUAACCCACAUUACCUUGCACUUACUAUAAUUAAAGGCCAUUUGCCAAAUAUUUGUUCUACUUAACCAAAUGAUCCAAAUCAUUCUGUAGCACCUCGUCAUCCUAAAAAUACCUAAGAAUAUAAUGUUAUCUUAACUAAAUCAAAGCAAGAUUGAAUAAGAUAACCCAUUAAUUUUGAGCUUGUUAAGAAAAAAUUUUGAAAUUUAAAGAAUGAUAAAGCUCCUGAUCCACAUAAUUUUCCCUUGAGGGUUUUGAAAAAGGUUUAGGAUUUUUCCAUAGUUACGUUAAGAAUAGUAGGGGUAGGGGACAGAAAUAUAAAUUUUGGCAUGGUAGAAGUAAUCUUGAACUAAAAUAGUUUUAUUUUUCUAUCAGAGUGAUUGACCUUUGGAAUGGGUAGCAUUCAGAUGUGGUGGAAGCAGUAAAUUAAAUGAAAUCUUGUGAAAUAUAUGAAUGAUAUAAACUGGCUUUGAGUUUUAUUUCUAGACAUUCCAGUUUCGUGGAUGAGGUAGCCAAGAUGGACCAAGAAGUUCCUAAUUGUCCUUAAAUGCUAUGUUAUGUUAAACUUUAAUAAUUUACUAAUUAUGAUCAUAUCAGUAUCACUGAUGUAAAAAUAGAAAGAGCAAAGGCCCAAAACUAACCUUUGAGGUAUUCCACUAGUGAUGAAGAUCCAAUUUGACUGGAUACCAUGAAUAACAACCUUUUUUUUUUGCUUUAUCCUAUUCAUCCACCUUGCAGUCCAAUUAACUAGUUUUCCAGUUUCCAACAGUGUAGUUUUCUUGGCUAAUCUUCUGUGUGGCUCCUUAUCAAAAGCUUUUUCAAAAUCUGUGUACACGAAGUUUACCUCUUUUUCCAUCAUUCAGAUAACAUCUAAUGUUCUCUAAAAAGAUAACAUAUUAGUAAGGAGGGCUGGGUGUUUUUUUGCCGACUGAUCACAUGCAGACCCACCAGAGACAGUGUAUAUGAUAGCAUUUAAGAUGUCGUUAGACUUAUUGACAUUAUCUGAAUUUGUUUGCAGGUUUACUUAUUUUUAAUAAUAUCUUUGUUAUAGUUAUGAUAAACAUAGUUUAGAAUUUUUAUAUUUCUUUUCUACUAUAUCUGAGACAAUUAAGAAUUGUAAACCUGGUGGCAUUUCUCUGGCAGUUCCUUUAAGAAUAUUUCAUUUGCAUUAUAAAACUGAAUAUAUCCUUUUUUAAGGAUUUUUUAUUAUGGAUAGAUGAUAACCACAUGUCAGUGCCAUUUGUUUUGUUUUUUUAAUUAUAUAGUUUGCAUUGCUGCUUCAUAAGUUUGGCAUAUGUAAUAAAAUAAAUCUCUUUGCAUCAUAUUGUAAAACAAAUUAAUUUGAGUGCGAACUUCUCUAAAGAAUUGUUAUGAAUGAAAGAUGAAAGUGUUUUCAAUUUUUCUAUAAGCUAUAUAUAUAUUCUUGUGUAUGUUAAUUUAUUUUUAUAGGUAAUAGUAGUUGAGAACAGUAUUUAGGUUGGCAAGUAACCACCACUUAAAUCUAGAAAAAAUUAACUCAAUAUUAUUCAUUUAUUGGUGACAAAAUUUGUUUUUGUUGUCAGCCAAAUCUUGAAACUUAGAUAAAGUGAAGAUGAGUAAUAGUUAUUUAAAGAAAGAUUUGCACUUGUUUAUUUAAAAAAUACUCAAUAGUAUUAUGAUGCAUUCUUGUGUGUUGAUAGAUCAGGAAUUUUUUCCAAAAAAUAAGAAUAAUAAUCAAAAUUACUAGUAUGUGGCAAUUCUAGUGUGUUGUGUAACUUUUGAAAUGUCAGUAGAAUAUACAUGGAAACCAAUGAGACUACUGUAUAUCCUUAAACCUAUUUAAACUAAAACUAUUGAGAAAAACAUGGUACUUUAGAAACAAAAUUUCAUGAAAGAAAAUAAAGUUCAAAUUAUUGGAGGAUAUUUCUAAUUUACUUAUGUGUACUGCUAUUAUUUGAAUGAAUAUUACAUUUAGCUAACAUAAGCCCACGUUGGUUUAAUUUUACUUUCCCUUUCAACAAAUGUUUUGAUCAUACAUCAUGGAUGGAAAAACUAGCUGCCACUGAAAUUUUAUUUGUGAUGAAAACUAUUUUAAAAGUUUUAAUUUCUUUUUUUUUUGUCUAAAAAGACAUUUAUAGUGACAGUUUUCUUGCACAUAUGAUAUUAUAGAUAACUGUUUAAAGAAAUUAAAUUUAACACUUAUACAGAAGCAUGCAAGUUUAUUGGAACACCUCAAAAACUUUCAUUUCAUGAGCUUUAAGCACAAAAUAACUAUUGAUUUGCAAUAAAAUUAACUUAUGAUACUGCAAAUUAAUCUUACAAAAUUAGUAAACAUAUAAUGUCUGUAAUGCCAUCUUUAGCAUCAAUGGCAUCUUUCUAGUGUAAUGUAUGUGUAUUUUCUAGUGUAACUUGAUUUAAUUUUUCUUGAAGCUGUAUCCAGAGACAUUCUUCAGUACAGUUGGUACUGUUGUCAAGUAUGAAACUCACCAAAUCAGAUUUUUUAUGGGGUUAAGGUCUAGACUUUCUAUCUUUGCCAGAUACGCUCAACGUUUUUGGAAGUAAGUUUUCAUUCAUUUUGAGAAAAAUGAAAUUCUGUCCAAUCAGACUCUUUCCAGAGGGCAUACCACAGUAAACUAAUGUACUGUAGUAUUUAUGCUGAUUCUUUGUUUUGCCACUUCUGUAGAGACGGCCAAUAUUAUUUGCCUCAAACCAUAGAGCCUUCUGUUUGCUUAACUAUUGGCUCAAGGCACUUCUUCUGUAACCUCUCAUUGAUUCUUAGGUGAACAUAUACAUACUGCUUGUAAACAAACAGUUCAAUUUAUCUUUCCAAAAUACCUUGUGCUACUACUACCAACAGCAGGAUACAUGAUCUUUCAUAAAAUCUAGCCUUUUUGCACAGUAAGGACUUUCUUGCUGCUACUUUUCCCCAAAGACCACAUUUAUACAGCAUUCGUGAUACAGCACUUCUUGAAACUUUAUCUGUGUAUCACUUGAUAAUGUCAUCAGCAGGUGUUUUGCAGUAUUGAUUCAGUUUUUCAGGAAAUCGAUUUUUAUUUGUCUAACAUCUCUCAGUGAGUUUUUUUGUCAGUCACAUACCUGAUAUUAUAGGACUGGGUCUCCUUGUAUCUGUCUAAUGUGUACCUCAGAGUAAGUGGUAAACAACUGAGGUAUUUUGCAAUUUUUCUUAAAUUCCAACUAGCUGUACAUUAAGAUUUGACCGUCACUGAGGGUCCCUCAAUUAUCUCUCUCUUUCUGUUUUAGCAUUUUAAUGGCGACACCACACUUUAUUAGCUGUACCAUAUAUUGGUUUAAAACAAAACAUGAAAACUCGGAAUGCCAAGAUAUCAUUUUUUCAGCAAUGACUGGUACAGAAACUAAUAGUAAUCACGCUUUAUAAUGUUACACUGUAUUGUCUUUAGAUAAAAUAUCUUGAACAACCCUAAAAAAUCUGCUGCACUUAAUCAUUUGUACAAUUUGUUGCUUUUUUCUUAAAAUUUAAGAUUAAUUAAAUGUGUGGCAUGUUAAUAUGAUGGAUAAAGUGAUAAAAUAAGCAAUUUGCCAACUUUUUUUUUUUCAGUAAUUUAUACUAAAAUAGUCAUUUCCUAGGGAUAAAAAUUCCGAACUACUGUUGCAAUGGAGUAUUCCAAUAAAUUUGCAUACUUUAUAUACUUCCCAUUUAUGUCUACUUGAAUAUUCUUUAAAUAAUGUAUUUUCACAUUAUGAAGUAAAAAUAUUGAUGGUGAACUUAAAUCCACUGUGAAGUGUCUUGUAUUAACUGGUUAAAAGGUAUUCUGUACAUAUAUUUUUUUGUAUGAAGUGUCUAUACAUUCAUUUUCUGUAAUUGAAUAUACUAUUUAAAAGAUAUAAACAGUAUCAUCUUUCAUUCUUAUUUUUAUUAAGUAUUUUUUGAAGUUUCUGAUUGAUAAUUUUUUUUACUGUAAUUUAAUGAUUGUAAUGUUAAACAGAAGAUACAUACAUAUUUUACUUACACAAGUAUAUCAAAAUCUGUAAAUUAACUUGCAAUAUUUGUAACCCUAAAUAUGUAUUUGAAAAUAGUUUAUAGAGUACUAAUGAUAUACUUAGCAUUUAUUCUAAAUUAAUAUAUGUAAUUACUUUUUGUAGUUGUUCACAAAAUACCAUUUUUGUUAUUUGAUAUUGUGAUUUUCUUUACUUAUAUGAAGUCUUUCCUAACAUUUAAAAUUUUGUUUUUAACACAAUAGAAAAAAAUGCAGUGAUUAUAUUGUUAAAACAUAAACACAUAAUCAUAUGGAUGAAAAGUUAAUACAUUGAUUUAACAAACAAAAUAAAAUAAAAUUAUGGAAUAUUUUUGUGAAAAAAAAUGGUGAACAAACUUGGGAAUUCCAUAAUUGGAUUUCUGUAGAGUUUAUAAUAUUUUUGGGAUUAAAGUUUAACACUGACUUAGAUAUAUAUUUACUUUAUAUAAUGAGAAAUAUAUAUUUUGAGAGGAAUCUUUAUUUAUAGUUGAGGAUCAUUCACUCACUAUCUUUUUUAUGAAUACAACCUUGUUGUGAGAUUUGUUUCAUAUAUAUGGAUAUAUUGUAUGAGGGAUUCUCCAAAUAAUAAAUAAAUUUAUGUAA